GACGAACGCUGGCGGCGUGCUUAACACAUGCAAGUCGUACGGUAAGGCCCUUUCGGGGGUACACGAGUGGCGAACGGGUGAGUAACACGUGAGUAACCUGCCCACAACUUUGGGAUAACGCUAGGAAACUGGUGCUAAUACUGGAUAUGUGCUCCUGCUGCAUGGUGGGGGUUGGAAAGCUCCGGCGGUUGUGGAUGGACUCGCGGCCUAUCAGCUUGUUGGUGGGGUAGUGGCCUACCAAGGCGGCGACGGGUAGCCGGCCUGAGAGGGUGACCGGCCACAUUGGGACUGAGAUACGGCCCAGACUCCUACGGGAGGCAGCAGUGGGGAAUAUUGCACAAUGGGCGCAAGCCUGAUGCAGCAGCGCCGCGUGCGGGAUGACGGCCUUCGGGUUGUAACCCGCUUUCAGCAGGGACGAAGCUUUUUGUGACGGUACCUGCAGAAGAAGCACCGGCUAACUACGUG
rnacentral:rRNA from 1 species